GAUGAACGCUGGCGGCGUGCCUAAUACAUGCAAGUCGAGCGAACAGACGAGGAGCUUGCUCCUCUGACGUUAGCGGCGGACGGGUGAGUAACACGUGGAUAACCUACCUAUAAGACUGGGAUAACUUCGGGAAACCGGAGCUAAUACCGGAUAAUAUAUUGAACCGCAUGGUUCAAUAGUGAAAGACGGUUUUGCUGUCACUUAUAGAUGGAUCCGCGCCGCAUUAGCUAGUUGGUAAGGUAACGGCUUACCAAGGCGACGAUGCGUAGCCGACCUGAGAGCGUGAACGGCCAGCAGGAUACUAAGCCGACAACCAAGAAGCACCGGAGAGAGUAGGAGGGAAACCUCCGGCAAGGGCCAAAACGGUGCAGGAGCACGGAGCUGGAGUCGAUGAAUGAAAUCGUAAAGAAAAAGUGUAUAAUAAGGAAAAAAGAAAUGAGUAAGGAAAAAUGCACAUCUUGAAGAAACAAAAGAAGAAAUCCACGUCUGACUAUGUGAAAGCAGCCGAGGUAAUAGAUCGGAACACGCUUGAAC
rnacentral:rRNA from 1 species